rnacentral:rRNA from 1 species
CCGGACCUUACUGCUAUCGGGGUGGGANNAGACNUGCGAGUCGAGCGUCUCUAGCUAUNUGAGACGCGGCAGACGGCUCAGUAACACGUGGCUAACCUACCCUCAGGACAAGGAUAAACCCGGGAAACUGGGGCUAAUACUUGAUAGGCGAAGAUGCCUGGAAUGGUUUUUCACCUAAAGGGCUUUAGAAACAUGCUUCUAAAGUCGCCUGAGGAUGGGGCCGCGUCCGAUCAGGUUGUUGGUGAGGUAACGGCUCACCAAGCCUAUAACCGGUACGGGCCGUGAGAGCGGUAGCCCGGAGAUGGGUACUGAGACAAGGACCCAGGCCCUACGGGGCGCAGCAGUCGCGAAAACUCCGCAAUGCACGAAAGUGUGACGGGGCUACCCCGAGUGCCAUCCGCUGAGGAUGGCUUUUCUUUGGUAUAACUAGCCAGGGGAAUAAGGAGAGGGCAAGACUGGUGUCAGCCGCCGCGGUAAUACCAGCUCUCCGAGUGGUAGGGAUGAUUAUUGGGCUUAAAGCGUCCGUAGCCGGCUUAGCAAGUCUCCUGUUAAACUCAGCGACCUAAUCGUUGAAUCGCGGGAGAUACUACUAGGCUAGGAGGCGGGAGAGGUCGACGGUACUUCUGGGGUAGGGGUGAAAUCCUAUAAUCCCGGGAGGACCACCAGUGGCGAAGGCUGUCGACUAGAACGCGCUCGACGGUGAGGGACGAAAGCUGGGGGAGCGAACCGGAUUAGAUACCCGGGUAGUCCCAGCCGUAAACGAUGCGGGCUAGGUGUUGGGAUGGCUACGUGCCAUUUCAGUGCCGCAGGGAAGCCAUUAAGCCCGCCGCCUGGGGAGUACGGCCGCAAGGCUGAAACUUAAAGGAAUUGGCGG